CAGUCCUAUGCGCUUGUGCGGUGUUCCAUACUGCCAUUUAUUUAUUGAAUUCGGUUCGUGUCGUAUUUUGUUUGGGCGGUGUUUCUUAUAAUCGCUCCGUAACUAGUAAUAUACAACCACAAGUCCGUGUGUCGGCUCGCUAUUUUCAUUAUUCGUUUGUAGCUUAAUACUGUGUAAUAAUAUUAUAGUUAGAUUACACUUUUAAACAUGAGUACAACGAGUGAAAACAAUGUUGAAGAACCCGAGCAAUUUAGAAAAUUGUUCAUUGGUGGUUUGAAUUAUACCACUACUAAUGAGUCACUUAAAGAAUUUUUCGAAGCAUGGGGUGAGAUUGUCGAUGUCGUCGUCAUGAAAGACCCAGUGACUAAAAGAUCGAGAGGUUUUGGUUUUAUAACCUAUUCCAAAUCGUCAAUGGUUGAUGAUGCGAUGGCAAAUAGGCCACACAAAAUUGAUGGAAGAGAAGUAGAAACAAAACGUGCAGUUCCACGUGAUGAUAUUGAUAAACCAGAUAUAGCCUGGACGGUAAAGAAAAUGUUUGUAUCUGGAUUAAAAGAACAAACUGAAGAAGAAUUACGUGAAUAUUUUGGACAGUACGGUAAUAUAUUAAACAUACAAAUUGUAACGGAUAAAGAAACAGGACAGCGUAAAGGUUUUGGAUUUAUCGAAUUUGAUGAUUCUGAUUCAGUCGAUAAAGCAGUUUUAAUCAAAAGUCAUGAAGUCGCUGGUAAUAAAUUAGAAGUAAAAAAAGCUGUUAGUAAAGAUGUUGCAUCAGCUAGAGGCAGAAGAGGUGGACGAGGUAGUGGCAGAGGACAAAAUUGGGGUGGUCCCAAUAGUUGGGGAGGCAACUUUGGAGGAGGAUACGGUGGUGGAGGUGGUGGCGGUGGAUGGGCUCAAGGUGGUCCUCAAGGUUGGAAUAAUGUAUGGGGUGGCCAAGGUAAUCAAGGAGGUUGGAAUGGCGGAGGUGGCAACUGGGGUGGAAACCAAGGUGGUUUUGGAGGUGGACCAAUGCGAGGAAACUUUGGCAACAAUAGAGCAGCACCAUAUCACACAGGUCGCAGUGGUGGUGGAAACUUCUAUCAAAAUUCAAGAGGAAGAUAUUAAGCAUACGGAGGUUGCUGAAGCAAGGCUGGUAGGAAUCAAUAACCAUCAAAUUUCUCUUCUUCAACCUUUGGGGACCUAUUUAAACUAGUUGUUGUGAAAUCGGUUUUAUUUAAACUCGUAUUUGUUCAAUUUCCUUUUGAAAUCUAUGUACAGGUGUUCUUAAAAUAUUAAUGUUAGAUGUUUAGUAGGCAUACUUUUCUGCUAUAAAGGAAUGGAAAUCGUAAGUAGCGUAUGUUUGUUUGUUUUUUAAAUUAUCUAAAAUUCAAUUUUUGUUUUUCCUUUUUUGUGGCACUAGAUUUUCAUGUAAUGUGUUUGUACAUCUUUGGAUUACUAAACAUAAAUAAUAGAUACAAGUUUUGUUAGGCAUUUAAUGCAGAAUCACAAUAUUCAGGCUCCUAUCAACAGCGUAGGACGUAGGUCCCCAGUUCAAUGAUAGUAAGUGAUUUAGAAAAAUAUACAUUCAGUGUUUAUAUGAAUAUAAAGUUGAACAAUUUUAAUUAAUUUGGUUCUUACAUUGGUAAUAAAAUCACUAUUUGGCCGCUAAUCCAAGUGCGUUUGUUUAAUAUUUCCAAGUGUCAUGCAGUAUUUUCUAUAUCGACCAUCAUUUUACCUAGACGCUCGAAUGCAAGUUACUGAAUAUGCCAAUAAAAUGUUAACUAAAACAGUUUUACAAAUGGAUAUUUAAGGAUCAUCUUUGGAAUCUGUUUCUUCAUCACCAUAAUAAUUCAUGUUGUCUAUAAGAUUUAUUUUAUUAUGCGGGUAAUGUCCAGCAAGUUGGAGAAUAUCUAAUUGUUAUGAUUGUAAACUGUCAUGGAAUCGUCAUUCCUAUAAAGAUAAAUAAUAAUGGUAAUUUCACUAAUUUCUAUUACGUUAUAUGUACAAUAAUUAUUAUUAAAUACUUAAACAUUUGGACUGAUCGGUUGUGUUUCAGUAUUGAAUUUCAGCAUUGAGGGAGUGGUCGUUUAGCUCUGUUGACAGUUUAACUAAUAUUAACUUUAGUUGAAGUUGUAACUAAAAAUAUUGCAAUCAAAAUGUCAUUAAUUUUUUUGUUAUAACUUAUUUCAGAAUGAAAAAAACAUGAGAAAACGAAAAACCAAUAUUUUUUAAUAGUAGUACUAUACAUAAUCUAUAUCACUUAAAAAUCCAAAAUUCAGGUGUUCAAAGCUUAAAGAAGAAAGCAUAAAGAGUUGAUUUAUGUGUUAUAUUUACUUGUUACAAGUUAAUAGUCUAACCUUGAGUGAAAGUUUAAGCCUUAAACUACCAAAAUUGCUUAUAAAAUAAAAAGAUUUUUUUUGUAAGUUGUCUAAUGAAUUUAAACUAUAUAAAUUAUAUGACAUAAAAAGUACUGAUUCUUCAAUGUUUUCUUAUAAUCUCUGUGUACAUACUUUAAAUGUAACUGUUGUCCAAUAUCUUUAUACGGCAUUUUUUUAAAAAUUCCCAACACAAAUUAUUUGCUUCAAAAUGAACUUGGACUCUGACUAAAUUGUACUUAUUAUAAAUAAAAUAAUAACAAAUGGUUAAUAGAACCGAAAUUAUUAAAUUCAUCAUUCAAUUAAAUUAUUCAAAAUUGACAGGAUAUUGAAUAAUUACUUACUAGGGCACACAUUAAUUAUUGAUAUUUGAGGAUCUAAAGCAAAAACAUGUAAUAACAUUUGGUUAUGCAUUGUCAUUCUUGACUAUGCCUAUUACCAUUGAGUAUGCAAUGUAUAUGUAUUAAUAUAUACUCAAUGGUAUUACCAUAUAGUCUACUGUUCAGACAUUAGUCUUAGUAACGUCGUCUGUUAAAUAUAGCGGUGAUUCGAUACGGAGAUAACAAUUCUUGUUGAAUUACAUACUUAAAUAUUUUAUGCUUUAAGGCGAGUAUGCUCUUAACAGGAUUUUAAUUGUAUAAAAAAUUCUCUUGUUGCUUAAACCGUUUUAAAAGAAAAAAAUAUCGCCUGCAUCAAAGUAGUUGUCGAGGAUGAGCGUCAUUUCUGUAAAAAAAAAAAAACGUCUGUUUGAAAUAAAUAAAGGGUACUAAAUAUAAGAGGGGGCUUAUUUUUAAAUUGGGGGUGUGUUACUUGUUAGUACAGCCUAAUGACUAUUACCGCCUAUGCCUAUCGGCCCCCGUUGCUUUCCAGAGUGACGCGAUGAACCCGAAUUUUAAAUUUUGGCGGGACGCUAGCGGUUGCCGUACGGUGGGACAGAUGUCGCGUCGGCAGCGUGGACACGCGCCAUUCCACCGUUGGCGACACUACACCACUACUACGGUAAUAGUAGUACUACACACGCGCACGCCGUCGUCCUGCGUACCACGUACUUACCAUACUUACUUUAUAUUACAUAUAUAUAUAUAUAUAUACUUAUAUUAAUAAUAAUAUAUAUUAUACACUACAGGUACGGUCGGCAGCAGUCGCCCCUACUCGAUAAUUAUUAUUUCAAUGUACUUUUCUAUUUCCGUGCGUUAGACGUUGCGCUGUUGUGUGCGUUCGGUUCGUUUCCCGUUCACCUUCCAUAUAUAUAUAUAUAUAUAUUUUUUUUUUUUUCAUGUGCGUUACACUGUGUAGUAAAUAGUGUACUAUUAUAUUUUGUACGCUUACGUUGGCCGUUUCCAUAGAUUGCCAUAGAGCGCUGCCGUCAGUGUCGCGAACGUCCGUCGUUUGGAAACCGCGCCGUUCGAAGGGGGCAAAAAAAAAUAAAUAAUAAAAAACGUGCUUCGCGUGUGUUGACCGAACAGGCAAAUAGAGUUGCGCGUCUCGUCGAAAUUCACACCUCCCCUCCCCCAAACCGUACUUGGGACUUUCGGGUUUAAUAUAUAUAUAUAUAUUUUUUUGGAAAUAACCACUUUCAACGUGUACGAGCGCACGUCGUCGUCGUGUUAUU